GACGAACGCUGGCGGCAGGCUUAACACAUGCAAGUCGAGCGCCUCGCAAGAGGAGCGGCAGACGGGUGAGUAACGCGUGGGAACGUACCCUUAUCUUCGGAAUAGCUCUGGGAAACUGGAAGUAAUACCGAAUGUGCCCUUGGGGGGAAAGAUUUAUCGGAUAAGGAUCGGCCCGCGUUGGAUUAGCUAGUUGGUGGGGUAAAGGCCUACCAAGGCGACGAUCCAUAGCUGGUCUGAGAGGAUGAUCAGCCACAUUGGGACUGAGACACGGCCCAAACUCCUACGGGAGGCAGCAGUGGGGAAUAUUGGACAAUGGGCGCAAGCCUGAUCCAGCCAUGCCGCGUGAGUGAUGAAGGCCUUAGGGUUGUAAAGCUCUUUCACCGGAGAAGAUAAUGACGGUAUCCGGAGAAGAAGCCCCGGCUAACUUCGUG
rnacentral:rRNA from 1 species